UGUCACUGGUGACCCUGGUGUCCCUGGUGACCCUGGUGAUAUUGGUGUCCUGGUGAUCCUGGUGUCCCCGAUGAUGGUGGUGAUCCUGGUGAUCCUGGUGUUGCUGGUGUCCCUGGUGAUACUGCUGUCCCUGGUGUCCGUGGUGAUGGUGGUGAUCCUGGGGUUACUGGUGUCCUGGUGAUCCUGGUGUCCCUGGUGUCCUGGUGAUACUGGUGUCCUGGUAUCCUGGUGUGACUGGUGAUCCUGGUGAUCGUGGUGUCCCUGGUGAUCGUGGUGUCCCUGGUGAUGGUGGUGAUGGUGGUGAUCCUGAUGAUGGUGGUGAUCCUGGUGAUCCUGGUGAUGGUGGUGAUCCUGGUGAUUGUGGUGUCCCUGGUGAUGGUGGUGAUGGUGGUGAUCCUGGUGAUCCUGAUGAUGGUGGUGAUCCUGGUGAUCCUGGUGUCCCUGGUGUCCCUGGUGAUGGUGGUGAUGGCGGUGAUCCUGGUGAUGGUGGUGAUCCUGGUGAUCCUGGGUGGUGAUCCUGGUGAUCCUGGUGUCCCUGGUGAUGGUGGUGAUCCUUGUGAUCCUGAUGAUGGUGGUGAUCCUGAUGAU
rnacentral:lncRNA from 1 species